GUUCCGUGAUUCUGAGGAGAAGGAUCGGCAAAACGACUGUGUUUUCUGCAAGAUUGUGCGCGUUGAAUCACCAGGUCUCAAGCUCUAUGAAGAUGAUGCGUGCCUAUGCAUAUUGGAUACAAAUCCUCUGAGUCAUGGGUAAGGCAUUCUCUUAUCAUCCCAAAAUCUCAUUUCUGUUCCUUAAAAGCCACUCCACCACAUGUAAGUAAUUCUCACUUGAAACUUUUAAGUUUGUAUUAAGCCAAUGUGCUGGUAAUCAUUUCUAUAAAGCAUUUAUGUAUACAAUCUGUCUGCAUCAUGUGCAUAGUAUUGUCACGAAUGGUCUAGAGUCUGUAUUAAGUCUACAUCAAUACAAUCAGUUUGCAUUAUGUGUAUAACACCUUCCCGAAUGUGUAGUAGAGUAGAUAUUCAUAACACAUGAAUGUUUCCGUUGUAUCUUCCUACAGAACAUUUUCGCAUUUGAGUGUACAUGGUUAAUCUUUCUAGCAUAAAUGCCAAAACACAGUAUUUGUAAUUACGUGUACAAAAUCAAGGGUUGGAAACCCCCCAAAAAAUUGAGUUUGGUGAACCUUAUCUGACCAACAAUUAGUGCAAUUUGGUUGGGAGACAUGAGUAUGUGGAAACUCGAUUUAGGAUUGUGUGGUUAGUAGGAAAAAAUGUGAAUAAUAAGAGGAGGUUAUCAUAUAUCAGCUUCUUCUUACUACACAGCCUUAAUGUAACUACAUUAACGAACAACAGAUAUAAUAAAGGCCCUUUACAGCCAGUUUAUGUCUCUACAGCACCAUGACCAAUACCUAGUUUUAACCAAGAACCUAUCUCUGAUUACAUGCAGUUGGCCUCUGAGUUUGUUUCCCAGCAUUUAUUAUCUAUCAUGCUUUUCACCUGCUUUACCUUUACCCUUUCAGAUUUGGAGAGAUUGUAUAAUUCAUGGUUCCUCUAAGAAAUUUAAAAUAGUAAUAAUGAUAAUUAAAUUUAUGGCAAACCAAAAUCAGAUACGCCGGAUUGCUUAUCACAACAAUACUGGAGGUGAUGAGCUGAGUCUGUAACAGAACUUUCAAGGUUUCCAAUCUGCCUUUUGUACCAAAAUCACUAUGAAGAAAUGCAUACUUCUAUAGUCUCAACAUAGUUUCAAAAAUAGGAAGCUCAUACAUAGAUUAUAUUUUUUCUGUAGUCUCAACAUAGUUCUAUUAUGAUCCACAUCGCCUUCGUCCUCUCCUCUCUCUCUACUUUUGGUUGGUACUUGUUGAUGAUCAAUCACUCAAUUCUUUGAAUACACUGAAAUAUGUGGGGGUUUUAACCAUGAUUGAUGUCUGCUUACCUGAAAUUAAUUAAAAACCAUACUUUUGUUGAGAGGAGGCUGACAAUUGUAACUUUGGAGCUUGACCUCUUGGUAGGUUGAAAUUUGCAUCUACUAGCUGAAGUUGUUUGAGAAGUCUAUCAAUGCACUAUACAAAUAGUACGGUUCUACAAAAAUUUGUAUCGUAUAUAGGCAUAAAUAUAUCUCCUUGUGCGUGUUUGGGGUGCGGGAAAUCUAGAAUUUUUUCUUCAACAGAAUGGAUAUAGCAUGGGUCAUGCCGGGAAGAGUGAUAGAAUUAAUUGCAAGCUGGAUAGGAAUUGCGGGGACACCACAGAUUGCGGCUGUAUGGAAGAUGGCUCCUCUUUGUAUUCUUUGGUGUAUUUGGUGUGAAAGAAAUGAUAGACUUUUUGAGGAUCAAGAACGUUCCAUAGAAGAGUUUAGGAGGUUUUUUUGGAAGACUUUAUUUAUGUGGGCCAUCGCUCUAGAGCUGAAUGGUCUCAGUUUUCAAGAUUUCCUUGUAUCAAUUACUAGAUCCUAAAUAGGUGUAUUCACAUGUAUACCUCCAGUGUACCUGGAAUAUGCUUAUUAAUAAAAUUUCUUAUUACUUAUAAAAAAAAAAAGUAGAAAUUCUUCUUGUAUGUCUCCUGGUUAACUUAUGUGCAGGUGAUAGCUGUAAUGUGUUCGAAAGUGCCGUUUAUCAGCAGUGCAAUAAUGAAAGCUACUGGUUGUGAUUCGUUCAACUUGUUGGUUAACAAUGGUGCAGAAGCUGGCCAAGUAAUAUUUCACGUUAAGUACUGUAUUUUUUUUUUUUUUUUAAGCGAGACUUUUUCUUUAAAGUACACCUAGGAAAAUGCUCAUGCUAAUAUUUCUAUAUGAUAUGGUAAUUUCAGACUCAUAUUCAUAUCAUUCCCCGUAAAGCACGAGAUUGCUUGUGGCCUUCUGAGAUAUUCAUCGCUUGUUCAUAUAUGUUAAUCCUGGGAGAGAACUUCCAUUAGAGAUAUGUUAACGUUAAAGAUUUGCAGAGUUUGCGGAGGCAUCCCCUAAAGUUGGACCAGAAUACUUUUAAACUUGUCAAUUGUGUUCAAGAAGAGCUAUGCUUGUUCGUUAUAUUAAUGUUCCAUUAAUAAUAUUUUGCAUACUAACUAGAGCUGAUAAGUUGUUCUUUUCUACCAGGACUGAUGACUAAUGAAUUUUCUGCCAACUUAUGUUGUAUAUAUAUUUUUGUUAUUUUUAAUAUUUAGAUUGACGUUCGA